ACGCUCGACACCUACGAGGCAGCAGUCGGGAAUAUUGCGCAAUGGAGGAAACUCUGACGCAGUGACGCCGCGUAUAGGAAGAAGGUUUUCGGAUUGUAAACUAUUGUCGUUAGGGAAGAAAAAAGACAGUACCUAAGGAGGAAGCUCCGGCUAACUACGUGCUAGCAGCCGCGGUAAUCUGAGCGGGCUGGCAAGGC
rnacentral:rRNA from 1 species